UAGGGAAUCUUCGGCAAUGGGGGGAACCCUGACCGAGCAACGCCGCGUGCGUGAAGAAGGUUUUCGGAUCGUAAAGCUCUGUUGUUAAGGAAGAACGAGUGGGAGAAUGGAAAGUUCAUGCUGUGACGGUACUUAACCAGAAAGGGACGGCUAACUACGUGCCAGCAGCCGCGGUAAUACGUAGGUCCCGAGCGUUGUCCGGAUUUAUUGGGCGUAAAGCGAGCGCAGGCGGUUAGAAAAGUCUGAAGUGAAAGGCAGUGGCUCAACCAUUGUAGGCUUUGGAAAGUGUUUAACUUGGGUGCAGAAGGGGAGAGGGGAGUUCGAUGUGUAGCGGUGAAAUGCGUAGAUAUAUGGAGGAACACCGAGGGCGAAAGCGGCUCUCUGGUCUGUAACUAACACUGAGGCUCGAAAGCGUGGGGAGCGAACAGG
rnacentral:rRNA from 1 species